UACUCGGAAUGAUAAAUGCCGGUGAAGAAUAUCUCUCCUCUCUAUAGGGCGGAGGAUUGAUGGCCUGAUUUGUGCCUCCACGUAUCCCUGUCGAGGCCGUUGGUGUACCUUCGUCCCUGCCGUUGGUUAGUUUCUUUUUCUUUCCCGAUCUGCUGCGCCUGCGCUCGAUCAAAGUCGAACACUCGAACUGUCUCGAUACCUCCCGUCUCGUCCCUCUCCCAAUCGGCGGUGGGCGGCUGCUCGACGCGGGCGGCGGUUCCGGCGCCUAGAGGAGCACCUCGACGGCGAGCAAGUCAGCGCUCUCUUCUGCCCUCCUGCUCCUCCUUAUCUCAUCUCGGCGGAGUGGCGGCGGUUGCAGGGGCUGCGUUGCGGGGUCUGCUAGUGGCGGCUGGGACUUCUUCGACGGCGGAAGCAGUUGGAAGGACGGUGGCAGGGGCUUCCGGCGCUAGGCGCACCUCCACCCCGUCGCCCGUCGGCCCCUCGAUGGCAGGCACUGGGGGCGCUUUCAGUCUCUCUUCUCCCUAAGACGAGAUUGUCCCAGCCGGUGGCAGCGAGGCCUAGGCGAAGAUGAUCAUUUGAGCCAAUAAGCUCUCCUUAAGAAAUUGGUGGCUUAGUUAUCAAAGCAAAGAAUCCAUUUGAAUGUUUCACCAUAUCCAGGUUGUCUAUUUUGAAUCUGUCAUGAAGUGUCCGAGGCCUAAGAGCCCUUAACAUGCUCCAAGCUCGAUCGAUGAAAGAAGUUAUGAACAACACCAAGACAAGCUGAAGGACCAACAAGGAGGCAACGGCUUUUUUGCUCUAGACCUUGGCUGUGAAAUGUCUGUAAACUAUAUCUGUAAGUAAGAAUCAUCAUUUCGUGAGCCGUGCCAUGCAAUUCAGUUUUGAGAUUGUCUGGUUGCUUGUGAGCUUCCAUUUGAUGAAUAAGAGGUGUUGCUAUUUCAUUUUAUGCUCUUUGACGCUUUAAUAUUUAGAUUGGAAAGUGAUUUAGUUUUUGGCCAUACCGCAUCAAUGCAAAAUUGUUAAAAGUGUCUUCAUAAAUGUAUCAGAAAAGUUCUGGGCGCAAGCUCUAACGUGGCCACUACUGCCGCUGAGUCUGAAGAUGCUUAUGUUAUGUAUGAUGUUGGGAUGCUGGUAUCAAAGUCAUUAUCUUCAUUCGCGUGCACAUACCGGAGAGCUUUCUAUUACUCAGUACAUAAGCAAUGUUCAGUUAUUAAUUGAUGAACACUUGGCAAUUACAUGACAAAGAAGGGGUCUUCUUUGGAUUAUUUCUUUGUUUUAGAGGUUGUGAAUGGAAGUUUUGUGAAUUCUGCUAGGCGUGUUCCAUUUGUUAUAUAAUAUGUCAUACAUAGAUUUACACAAACGUCAUUGGUGGAUGACGUGGAUUAUGGCAACAAUUGUCCGGCACAGUGAAGCGCGCUAUUCCAUCUAGUCAAAUUCUGUAGAAGUACCAGUUGGUUUGUCUAUUUUGCACCAGGCGGCGAAACCAGAAAUGUUGCCGUUGCAUAAACCAUAUGGUAUGUUUAGUUAGUAGACUAGCAUGUCAUCUUACAGCUGUCUUGUUUGGACAAUUUCCAGUCUUUGCAUAAAUAAAUUAUAAAUGUAAUGAAUUUCACAGGUUAUGCUGGAUGCUCAGGAGAUACUCAUGGUUUAACAACGGGUGUGCACAACGGAAGGUUUAAUGUUUGAUUGGGGUAGUAUGAUCUGUUUGAUGGACUUGGAUCUUACCUGCUUUUUUCAAGAAAUUCCAGCAUGUCUUCAAGUUGAUGCGGAGGACUUAAUAUUAUGUUUGGACCGUCAUACUGCAAAACUGGGAACCAUUAUGGAUCACAAUUUGGACCUGUUAAUUCCCCUAAUGUCUGUAACAUUUAGUACAUUCACUGAAGCAUAUAAGCUUCAUACUUGCGCUUGAAUUUCUGUCAUGAACUUAUUACUAUUUGUAGUGGAUUGUUGCUACUUCUUAAGUUCUUUUUAAACCA